UGUGAUCCCCUCAUUUCUUUCCUCACCAGCGCACAUCUUCGACCAGGGGCAGAGCCGAGCCCUAGCCUCGCCUUCUUCUGGUUUUCUUGCGUUGUGCCCUAGGUUUUCUCUUGCUGUUGGAUCCGAACAAAACAGUAGUGAGUAUCAGACAGGAGCAAGCAGUGACGAGUUCUUCUUGUGUCUCUGCUUGGUAGUGCCGAAGACAAUACCGAGUUGUGUUUUAGCCGGAUCUUGGAGCUUCUCCGGGUCUCGACAGUAAGUUCUUCAGGAUUUGAGCAGCACUGAGGCAUCGGAAAAAUUUGAGGACCUUGACGCGAGACGAGUAUCUCGACGUCGGAUUUGGACAGAUUG